CUACGUGCCAGCAGCCGCGGUAAUACGUAGGUCCCGAGCGUUGUCCGGAUUUAUUGGGCGUAAAGCGAGCGCAGGCGGUUAGAUAAGUCUGAAGUUAAAGGCUGUGGCUUAACCAUAGUACGCUUUGGAAACUGUUUAACUUGAGUGCAGAAGGGGAGAGUGGAAUUCCAUGUGUAGCGGUGAAAUGCGUAGAUAUAUGGAGGAACACCGGUGGCGAAAGCGGCUCUCUGGUCUGUAACUGACGCUGAGGCUCGAAAGCGUGGGGAGCGAACAGGAUUAGAUACCCUGGUAGUCCACGCCGUAAACGAUGAGUGCUAGGUGUUGGAUCCUUUCCGGGAUUCAGUGCCGCAGCUAACGCAUUAAGCACUCCGCCUGGGGAGUACGACCGCAAGGUUGAAACUCAAAGGAAUUGACGGGGGCCCGCACAAGCGGUGGAGCAUGUGGUUUAAUUCGAAGCAACGCGAAGAACCUUACCAGGUCUUGACAUCCCGAUGCUAUUUCUAGAGAUAGAAAGUU
rnacentral:rRNA from 1 species